GUUGGGAACCAACGAUGGAGCUUCCCGGAAACCCUAUUGAUGUAUGCCUUGGUCUUUGGUCUGUGUUCUUCUGAGUACCAGAGCUGCUGCUCCAUUCCCGUAUUUCUUUUGGUUUCUAUUAAAUUUCCUUCCAAAGUUGCUGUUGCUGUUCCCGUGGGGGUUAUUGUUAUCACUGUCGCCAUGAAUUGAAAGAAAAGG